rnacentral:lncRNA from 1 species
AUAUAAUCCCAGUAGUAACACUGCUGGAUCAAAGGGUAUGCACAGUUUGAUAACUUUUUGAGCAUAGUUCCAAACUACUCUCCAAAAUGGUUGGAUUCGUUCACAACUCCACCAACAAUGCAUCAAUGUCCCAGUUUUCCCGCAUCCCCUCCAACAAUCAUCAUUAUUUUUUCCUGUCAUCUUAGCCAAUCUGACAGGUGUGUAGUGGUAUCUUAGAGUUGUCUUAAUUUGCAUUUCUCUGAUUAAUAAUGACUUGGAGCAUCUUUUCAUAUGACUAGAAAUAGUUUCAAUUUCUUCAUCUGAGAAUUGUCUGUUCAUAUCCUUUGACCAUUUUUCAAUUGGAGAAUGGCUUGAUUUUUUAUAAAUUGGAGUUAAUUCUCUAUAUAUUUUGGAAAUGAGGCCUUUAUCAGAACCUUUGACUGUAAAAAUAUUUUCUGAGUUUAUUGCUUCCCUUCUAAUCUUGUCUGCAUUAGUUUUGUUUGCACAAAAACUUUUCAGUUUGGUAUAAUCGAAAUUUUCUAUUUUGUGAUCAGUAAUGAUCUCUAGUUCUGCUUUGGUCGUAAAGACCUUCCCCUUCCACAGGUCUGAGAGGUAAACUAUCCUGUGUUCCUCUAAUUUAUUAAUAAUUUCAUUCUUUAUGCCUAGGUCAUGAAUCCAUUUUGACCUUAUCUUGGUGUACGGUGUUAAGUAUGGAUCAAUGCCUAGUUUCUGCCAUAUUAGUUUCCAAUUUUCCCAGCAAUUUUUAUCAAACAGUAAGUUCUUAUCCCAAAAGCUGGGAUCUUUGGGUUUGUCAAAGACUAGGUUGCUAGUCUUUGUUGGCAAAGACUUAUUUGUUGACUGUUUUAUCCCUUGAACCUAAUCUAUUCCACUGAUCAACUAAUCUAACAGUCUUUUUUCAUGGCAAUUGGGAUUGAGUAAUUUGUCCAGGGUCACACAGUUAGUAAAUGUUAAGUAUCUGAAGCUGGAUUUGAAUUUAGGACCCAUGCUAUAUUCACUGUGCCAUCCAAGUGCCCCAAUGAACAGUCUUGUCUUUUUCAAGGCCAUCAGUGGGUUAUUCCAUUUUAUCAGUUGUGAUAUACAAGGGAGGUCAUAUUGCUUACUUUAAAUUUAUUACUCUAAUUAAUUGCCCCUAAAAAUUAAUGACAGCAAGCUUUAGAGAAAAUGUGAUUGCAAGG